UACGAAGGGGCUAGCGUUGCUCGGAAUCACUGGGCGUAAAGGGUGCGUAGGCGGGUCUUUAAGUCAGGGUGAAUCCUGGAGCUCAACCCCAGAACUGCCUUUGAUACUGAGGAUCUUGAGUUCGGAGAGUGAGUGGAACUGCGAGUGUAGAGGUGAAAUUCGUAGAUAUUCGCAAGAACACCAGUGCGAAGCGGCUCACUGGCCCGAUACUGACGCUGAGCACGAAGCGUGGGAGCAACAGG
rnacentral:rRNA from 1 species